rnacentral:lncRNA from 1 species
CUUGCUCAUACUGUCUUGGUUUGCUUUUUUUUAUGCUGACUUAAGCUGCAGCAUCUGUAUGAAGGGGUUUAGCACAAUUGUAAAUACUAAUCUCCAGGCUGCCAAUGUCAUUACGGAAGUAGAUACAAGUAAAUGAAACUCACAGUACAUUUCUAUAGACACUGUGGGUGAUUUUGAAGACAUAUGUAUCUUCCAAGCUGUUACAAUCUUCCUGAAUAUAUUUCUUCGUAGGCCGGAGGAGCAUUCCUUUAUGAACAGCCUUAAGGCCAGAAAUGGAAAGGAAGUUAACAUGAGCAUGGAGAAAAUCAGCAGAAUCAAUCUUAGGAUAAUGGAGAAUGUAGAGGCAGAGGAAAUACAGUGAGGGAAUUAAAGUUCAGCCCUUCCUUCCUCAAGAAGGUCUCCGAACAAUAUACAAAGAUUGACAGAUAAGGAAAUGAAGUGUAUCUCCUUGUCUGUUCAAGAACUUGUGUCAAGGACCCCUGACUGCACUGGUCAAUUUUAGAUUUCAGAGAAGUCUAAACUUUUGAAAAGUAGCUCUGCAUUAUGGAAAAAUUGGACUCCUCUACACUCUGCUACUUGAAGAGCAGCUCCUGGACGAGCAGCGUUAGCAUCAACUGGAAACGUGAAGUGCAGAGUCUUGGGUCCCAUCUCAGACUAUUGAAUCAAAUUAUUCUUUUGUAUAUUGAAUUUUGAGAUGUAC